GUCUUUGAGUGCUCCGGCAUUCAAUCUAAUUAAUAUUGAUUGAAUGUCUAAUUGUCUUCUUUUUACUUAAUAUAUUUUAUU
rnacentral:tRNA from 1 species